GGAAGUAAAAGUCGUAACAAGGUCUCCGUAGGUGAACCUGCGGAGGGAUCAUUACACAAAUAUGAAGGCGGGCUGGAACCUCUCGGGGUUACAGCCUUGCUGAAUUAUUCACCCUUGUCUUUUGCGUACUUCUUGUUUCCUUGGUGGGUUCGCCCACCACUAGGACAAACAUAAACCUUUUGUAAUUGCAAUCAGCGUCAGUAACAAAUUAAUAAUUACAACUUUCAACAACGGAUCUCUUGGUUCUGGCAUCGAUGAAGAACGCAGCGAAAUGCGAUAAGUAGUGUGAAUUGCAGAAUUCAGUGAAUCAUCGAAUCUUUGAACGCACAUUGCGCCCUUUGGUAUUCCAAAGGGCAUGCCUGUUCGAGCGUCAUUUGUACCCUCAAGCUUUGCUUGGUGUUGGGCGUCUUGUCUCUAGCUUUGCUGGAGACUCGCCUUAAAGUAAUUGGCAGCCGGCCUACUGGUUUCGGAGCGCAGCACAAGUCGCACUCUCUAUCAGCAAAGGUCUAGCAUCCAUUAAGCCUUUUUUUCAACUUUUGACCUCGGAUCAGGUAGGGAUCCCCGCUGAACUUAAGCAUAUCAAUAAGAGGAGGAA
rnacentral:sRNA from 1 species